CAGUAGCCGCGGUAAUACGGAGGGAGCUAGCGUUGUUCGGAAUUACUGGGCGUAAAGCGCACGUAGGCGGCUAUUCAAGUCAGGGGUGAAAGCCCGGGGCUCAACCCCGGAACUGCCUUUGAAACUAGAUAGCUUGAAUCUUGGAGAGGCGAGUGGAAUUCCGAGUGUAGAGGUGAAAUUCGUAGAUAUUCGGAAGAACACCAGUGGCGAAGGCGACUCGCUGGACAAGUAUUGACGCUGAGGUGCGAAAGCGUGGGGAGCAAACAGGAUUAGAGACCCCAGUAGUCCCUGUCUCUUAUAA
rnacentral:rRNA from 1 species